CUCGUGCCAAAAGUCCCUGAAUCGUGUGAAAAAAUCCAACUACAUCGAGUCUCUUCGACUUAAGUGUUUAUGAAAGCUGUUCGAUUCUAUGGAGAAAAAUGAAAAAUGAAAUACUCAAAUUCUUUUUUAACUGACAGAACGUGGAGUCGUAGUAAGCGUGACACAAUGAGAUAAUCAGGAUGAAACAUCCACGAGCGUCGUUUUGGAUCUUCCUCGAAUUAAAAGUAAAAGUCAAGGAAAUCUAUUAAGGGUCGUGAUUGCGGAAACUUGGUCAAUAAAUGAGGGUCAUGUAGCAAGCUCUCGAAAGUCGUUGCCAAGGAAAACCUACGAUCAUCUCUUGACAAUCGCGAAACGAAUCCAAGUCGAUGGAGGGCCUCGUAACAAAAAACACCCUUGUCAAAUUUGUUGACUUCUUAGAUAAUAAAGCAUUGGAAUAGUCAGAAGAUAGAUUUACAGAAUAAUGGGAUCGGUAUUAUGAAAAUGAUCUAUAUCCUAACUGUAUGAAACUUUGAAUUUCAGUUAAUUUCGUUCCAAUAAAUGGAGUUCGGGUAAA